rnacentral:rRNA from 1 species
GGGAUCAUUACUGAGUCACGUGCUCAAACAACCCUUCUGUGGACCUGAAUUAAACCGUUGCCUCGGCGGGCGGUCCCCUGCCAAAACCCACGUGGUUGUGGACAGAGGACCAGACAGUCCGGCACGCUUAAGGCGUCCGGCGCCAGCCGCUGGCCCUAACCAAUUAAACUCUAGUAACCUUACCUUCUGAGUUUUAAUACAAAAAAAUAAGUCAAAACUUUCAACAACGGAUCUCUUGGCUCUGGCAUCGAUGAAGAACGCAGCGAAAUGCGAUAAGUAAUGUGAAUUGCAGAAUUCAGUGAAUCAUCGAAUCUUUGAACGCACAUUGCGCCCGCUGGUAUUCCAGCGGGCAUGCCCGUUCGAGCGUCAUUUUAAUCCCUUCCCGGGAGACUCUUCUAUUCUGUAGUGGAGUCCCGCGGGGCGUUGGCACUGGGCGCCUGAUUUUUUUUUAGGCGGCCGGAGCCGAAAUGAAGCGGCGGACUCGCGGCGGCCCCUAGCGCAGUAGAACAACCCUUCUCGCUUAGGAGAGCUGCAGCGGCGGACCACAGCCCUACACAUGUAUGCUUUUUAAAAGCUACAUAUAUAUAAAAAACUUGACCUCGGAUCGGGUAGGACUACCCGCUGAACUUAAGCAUAUCAAUAAGCGGAGGAA